rnacentral:rRNA from 1 species
AUUGAACGCUGGCGGCAGGCUUAACACAUGCACGUCGAGCGAGCGGCGGACGGGUGAGUAAUGUCUGUGAAACUGCCUGAUGGAGGGGGAUAACUACUGGAAACGGUAGCUAAUACCGCAUACCAUCAGAUGUGCCCAGAUGGGAUUAGCUAGUAGGUGGGGUAAUGGAUCACCUAGGCGACGAUCCCUAGCUGGUCUGAGAGGGUGACCAGCCAAACUGGGACUGAGACACGGUCCAGACUCCUACGGGAGGCAGCAGUGGGGAAUAGUGCACAAGGGGCGCAAGCCUGAUGCAGCCAUGCCGCGGGUGUGAAGAAGGCCUUCGGGUUGUAAAGAACUUUAAGUGAGGAGGCGUUACUCGCAGAAGAAGCACCGGCUAACUCCGUGCCAGCAGCCGCGGUAAGUC